UACGUAGGGAGCGAGCGUUGUCCGGAUUCAUUGGGCGUAAAGAGCUCGUAGGCGGCUUGAUAAGUCGGAUGUGAAACCUCCAGGCUCAACCUGGAGUCGCCAUCCGAUACUGUCAUGGCUAGAGUCCGGUAGGGGCCCAAGGAACUCCUGGUGUAGCGGUGAAAUGCGCAGAUAUCAGGAAGAACACCGGUGGCGAAGGCGGUGGGCUGGGCCGGCACUGACGCUGAGGAGCGAAAGCGUGGGGAGCGAACAGG
rnacentral:rRNA from 1 species